rnacentral:rRNA from 1 species
AUACGUAGGGUGCGAGCGUUGUCCGGAAUUACUGGGCGUAAAGAGCUCGUAGGUGGUUUGUCGCGUCGUCUGUGAAAUUCCGGGGCUUAACUCCGGGCGUGCAGGCGAUACGGGCAUAACUUGAGUACUGUAGGGGAGACUGGAAUUCCUGGUGUAGCGGUGAAAUGCGCAGAUAUCAGGAGGAACACCGGUGGCGAAGGCGGGUCUCUGGGCAGUAACUGACGCUGAGGAGCGAAAGCAUGGGUAGCGAACAGGAUUAUAUACCCUGGUAGUCCAUGCCGUAAACGGUGGGCGCUAGGUGUAGGGGUCUUCCACGACUUCUGUGCCGUAGCUAACGCAUUAAGCGCCCCGCCUGGGGAGUACGGCCGCAAGGCUAAAUCUCAAAUGAAUUGACGGUG